GGAUGUACAACCUCACCAGAGUACCAAUUGGAGGGCAAGUCUGGUGCCAGCAGCCGCGGUAAUUCCAGCUCCAAUAGCGUAUAUUAAACUUGUUGCAGUUAAAAAGCUCGUAGUUGUAUUUCAGCCUCGCGUUUUUUCCCUUGUUUUGGGUCUUUUCGCUGGCUUUUAUUUUACUUUGAGAAAAUUAGAGUGUUUCAAGCAGACUUUUGUCUUGAAUACUUCAGCAUGGAAUAAUAGAGUAGGACCUUGGUUCUAUUUUGUUGGUUUCGAGCCUUGGUAAUGGUUAAUAGGAACGGUUGGGGGCAUUCGUAUUUAACUGUCAGAGGUGAGAUUCUUAGAUUUGUUAAAGAACGAACCACUGCGAAAGCAUUUGCCAAGGACGUUUUCAUUAAUCAAGAACGAAAGUUAGGGGAUCGAAGACGAUCAGAUACCGU
rnacentral:rRNA from 1 species